CGUUAAUUAGUUACAAGAAGCAUCUCUCGAUGGCAGCCUGUAGCUUGCGUAGGUAAAUGGAUGAGUGCUUACGCUAUUCGUCUUGCAACCUAUAUGUUCUACUACGUACGAUGGGAGCAUUCCAUCUUUUAAUGCUGAAGACAC